UGAUAAUACCUCAAAGUACUACCCUAUAGCAAUCAGAAGACUGGAACCUUUUUUCCAGGUUUAAGGCGGCACUCAUGUCUCAUCACAAAGGGGCAAACAAAACUGACGUUUAGCCUGCAAUCCUUGCACAAUCUACAGUUUUACCUGUUAUCUCUCUCUUUUUUGUUAGUACCCAAUAUAAACAUGAGAUUUUAGAAACCAGAUCUAAAUUUAGUGGAAAUAGUUGGGUCAGGUAGGAAAUUAUUCUAAGCGAGCAGCGAGUGUACAAAGGCUGAAUAUACAGUGGGAGCGGUCGGGUGUGGAAUAAAACCUAGCGGGAGUGAGACUAAAAAAAUCUGUUCCGCACAGACCUCUGCAUUGCACAGAGCUUGGACUAUCAUGUGGUUUUCUCACCAUCACCACCACUUGCUUUUGAUUAUGUUUCCUGUCUAGUGUAUUACAAAGUUGCAAUGCAAAUCUCAGUAUUUUUAAGGUAAAGUACUGGCAACCACAUACAACUACCUAUGUAUAUCAUACAUUUUUACAGAUUUUUGUUUAUACAUUGUUUUUCAACCCCCCUAAGUAUUUACCUCCAGCUUUAAAUUAGAUUUUGAAUCCCUCUCUUCAACAUGGGACCCCCACUGUAGACUGAGGUAAUAUUUGCCCUUUAGGUUCACAGAGUCCAUAUUUUUAUGUCAUGCACAAAAGCACAUGAUUAAUUGUGUGUCUGCAGGGAAGGCUGUUAGACGCAAGAGAGUUAAGGGCACUCAGGUCUAAUGCACUCUGACUGUACUGUCAACUCUAUGUGAACACAUGCUAUCUGGAGGCAACCAGAGCAGGACUCCAAAUGUCAAGCUCUGUUAAAGUAACUCCAGAUUUAACCACUUGUAGUGCUGCUUUGACUACACUCUCAAUCUAUCUGAUUGUUUUUAGCUUUUUCUGACAGUUUUGAUUAUGUAAUUGUAGACCUGUUCAACUGAUAAUGCAAAUAUCAAAUCAUGACAAUAACUCAAUGCAUUUAUGCAUGUAGAUGAUCUUUAAAACGAGAAUGGGAAAUAAAGGUGAUUCGACCUUGAAAAUGUCAAGCUUGUUGAAGCCAUACAGGCUCAUCAGGAUUUCAGAAUUUUCUGAUCUGCUGGGAUUUUCACUUACAUCCAUCUCUAGGGUUUACAGGAUUGUCCAAAAUUUGAAAUAUCCAGCAAGCUUCAGUUAUGUGAGUGAAAAACGCCAUGUUGAUGCCAGAGGUCAGAGGAAAAUGGCCACACCAGUUUGGACUGAUAAAAAGAAGGAGAGCAUCUCUAAACCCACGACAUGUCAAACCUUGAAGCAGAUGAUCUACAGCAGCAGAUGAAGAGCACAGAGAUGAUACUCCUGUCAUCUAAAAACAGCAAACUGAGGCUACAAUUAACACAGGCUCAGCAAGAAAAUGUAACCUGAUAUGAUGACUCUAUAUUUCUGUUGACAGAUUCAGAUAAUAGGGAUAUCAUUUGGCAUAUAAAUAAACACAACAACUUGCUUUG